GUGGCUGGCGGCUGGGUGCCUUCUACUGCUGCUGUGCAGAGGCUUUCCCUAAGGCUGCUGUGAGCCUGUAGGGUUUCCCCCUAGGCUACUAAGCUGG
rnacentral:pre_miRNA from 1 species